rnacentral:rRNA from 1 species
GAAUUGACGGGGGCCCGCACAAGCAGUGGAGUAUGUGGUUUAAUUCGAAGCAACGCGAAGAACCUUACCAGGGCUUGACAUCCCUCUGACCGGUCUAGAGAUAGGCCUUCCCUUCGGGGCAGAGGAGACAGGUGGUGCAUGGUUGUCGUCAGCUCGUGUCGUGAGAUGUUGGGUUAAGUCCCGCAACGAGCGCAACCCCUGUUGUUAGUUGCCAGCAUUAAGUUGGGCACUCUAGCAAGACUGCCGGUGACAAAUCGGAGGAGGGUGGGGACGACGUCAAAUCGUCAUGCCCCUUAUGUCCUGGGCUACACACGUACUACAAUGGCGACUACAGAGGGAAGCAAUACCGCGAGGAGGAGCAAAUCCCCAAAAGUCGCCCCAGUUCAGAUUGCAGGCUGCAACUCGCCUGCAUGAAGUCGGAAUUGCUAGUAAUGGCAGGUCAGCAUACUGCCGUGAAUACGUUCCCGGGCCUUGUACACACCG